rnacentral:misc_RNA from 1 species
GGUGUUCAGGCUUGGCAUGGAAGGCAAAGGCAACGGGCUACUCGUGCUGAGAAACUGAGGUUACAAGCACUGAAAGCUGAUGAUCAAGAAGCUUACAUGAAGAUGGUGGAGGAAAGCAAGAACGAAAGGUUGACAAUGCUUCUAGGGAAAACAAAUGACCUCCUGGGUCGUUUGGGAGCUGCUGUUCAACGGCAGAAAGAUGCUGAUCAUGAUGGCCUUGAAUCUUUGGAAGGUUCAGAUGCUGAAAUGGCUGCUACUAAGACUGAUACUCCUGGGCAGUCGCUUCCUGAGGAAGAAGAGGAUGUAAUUGAUGAUGAGUCCACUCAUGAUGUGAAGACUAAUGACUUACUUGAAGGUCAAAGGAAGUACAAUUCAGCUGUACAUUCGAUCCAGGAGAAGGUUACGGAGCAACCAGCUAUGCUUCAGGGUGGAGAACUGAGAUCUUACCAG